rnacentral:lncRNA from 1 species
UUGAAAUAAAGAAAGUUGGUUACCGCUCAUUAUUUUACUCUUUAGAAAUUUUACAAUAAAAGAACUCGAAUUUUAAUAUAAAUUUAUUUUCCAGAAAUGAAUAUGUUUGUCCAAAAAAAGAUUGUUUUUUUAGAAUGUAAAUUAAGUUUCACCGAAUUUCAAUUACUUCAAAUUUUCUAGUUCAGACUCCAACUUCUGAUAAGAUUCCGUAUUUUCCCAAAUGUUUUUUCCUUUCCCUAUCAAAGAACGCAAGACGCUCCUUGAUUUAAAUUUCCAAUCCUUAGCGACCACACCACCCAUUCUUCCUGGCAUUUCACCUAAAUUAGCGUAAGCUUCUACGAGUUCCAAAGCUCCCUCAACAGUCUUAUUCCAAGUUGCUUCAUCUGAGGUUACAUUUGGGCUUGAAAUUAGUAUUCGAUAUGCUUUUAAUGUUGCAUUCAAAGACUCGGCAAAAUGCCUUCUCCAUAAGUAAUAUCGAGCGACGAUUCUCCAUAAACGAACAUCGUUUGUAAUUAAAGGAACAACCAUUUUUAAUAGCUCGUUCAGCAUCCUAGCAAGACCUGAUGCGUCAUUGUCGCAAGAUUGCAUAACAUAAUUUACUACCAAAUCUAAACAUUGAACAUCCACAGCACGCUCACCCUCAUCUUUUCCUUUUAUUUCAAUAAUUCUUCUAAGAGCACGAAUUACUUCAGACCAUUUGUUAACAUCAACCGAAAUAAGCAUAUAGUUCUCCCAAAUACGCCAAUUAUCAUACAUGUAUUUAAUUCCUUGUUGCAUCGCAUGCCAUGCUUGUUCUUUGGUAUGAUCUUUUGCUUUUAACAUAGCACUAGCAAGAUUAUUCCAACUCUCUCCAUCUUCGGGGUUAAUCGACAAACAUCUGCUAAAAGCCUCCAUGGCAGCGUCAUAUUUUUGCAACUCCAAAGCAGCACACCCAUAAGUAAACCAGGUAGGAUAAGACAAGGGAUUUAUUUUCAGUGAUUCAUUAAAACAAUUCAUAGCCUGCAAUAGGUCACCUUUUUUGUAAUAAUAUUUACCCAAGGACCGUUGAGCCGGAGCAAAUCUUUUACAGGAUAACUCCCAUGCUUCAACAUAAUGUUUUGGAUUGUUUUCAAUAUCUCCGAGUAGAGUACGAAGUAAAAAAUCAUAUGGAUCAUUUUCCAAUUCUCGCUUUAUUACUUGAACGGCCAGAUCUUGACGAUUAAGUGAACAAUGGCACAUCACAACACAAUCCCACAUUUGUAAACGUUCAAAAAUUUCGAGGGCUGAUUUGGUGGCACCAACAGAGAUGAACCUUUCAGCCAAUUCAGCUUCUAACUGCCAUCUAGAUGGCAUCAGCAAAUUAUAAAAGUAAUUGAGACGUUCUUUCAACGAGGCAGAGUUUUCUCCAUCUUGCGGUUUUGGAAGGAAAGAUCCCAAACCUUCAUCGUUCUCUGGUUUAUCUACACCUUCAGGUGAUUUACCAAAACUCAAUUGAUCGUUAAGUUGAUCUAACAAUGCUUGCAUUUGAAGAACACUACGUUCAACAGUUCGACUUUUAAACCCCUCGAGACGAGCACGUACAAGCAAAGCCAUUGUAUAGACAGACCAAUUAACAGGAUAAACCAAAACGCGCUCUGCGUAAGGCGCCAUUUCUUCACGCGUAAGUCCAUCAUCAGGAUUGUUAUUCUUUAUGAUAUGGCAAAAUGCAAGUAAUAGAGAUGCGUCCAAUGGAUCAAGUUUCGAGGGAUGAUUGGGAUCUUCGGAUGACAAAAUCGGAUCAAGUUCUUCAGAAGGAGCCAAUGAUUUUUGAUCUUCUUUAAAGGAGAUUUUCUCCAAAAGAGUAUCAUCAUUUAACUCAAAUGUUAUCGGUUGAGUGCUAGUUGAUUUGUUCUGCUCGGUAUCUUUGCAUCGGUCUCUAGACUUUGCUAAAACAACUAGCUGCGAAGUAUCAAACGUUUGGAAUUUUGUGCGUCGACCAAGAGCACCAGUUAAUUCAAAAUGAAAGUCCAUUACUUUUGCUGAUUCCUUCAUCAACUGCAGAGCUAAAGUAUCACGACCGUAAUAAGAUUGUAUGAGGCCCAUUUCCAUAGUAAACCGCCCUUGUAAAUCUCGAUCUAGUGAAGAAACAUGACUACUCACGAUAUGCAUGCCUUCCAUUAUUUGAUUAAACAACUCUGAAACGUGCUCUUUAAGCAUUUGUUGGUGCAAAAAAUCAAGGCGAGCUUUAUACCAUAUGUGCAAAGGAUCUUUGCUAUUUGCGUAGUUAAAUAAAGUCUGCGAAAGUAAAAGAAAUAAAAGUUUUGGUGCAAGUCGAUAAGGCCUUUCUCCUUCCACAGUUAAACUUUUUAUAAUGGCAUCCUUUAAUGUAGCCUCGUCGCGUAAACGCUGUGGAAGCCAUAUUUCAGGCUUAAUGGGAAGAUAUGGUCCAGUAUAAUUAUUCUGAAUAAAAUAUUCCAACAUCUGUAUUGCAGUCUCAGCGAAUUGAUCACUGCUGACAUUUUUCCCUAGCGGCUUUGAAUCCCAAUAUUUGAACAAAAAUUUAGGAAUGUCAAUACUAGGACAGAAAAACUGAUCAUAUUCUUCUGUGCUUUUUAGAGAACCUCCAAAAAGGACCUCUUUAUUUUCUAUUGCUACCAUUGUUUGGCAAAACUGAAAAUUUUUGAUUCAACAAAUAUAUUUUCAGACAAUCAACCUAUUAAGCAUUUAUCCCGUCUAAUAGUGGAAUUUCUGUAUUUAAAACAAAAAGGAAAUCAAUUCAAUUCAGUAGUGAGUAAGGAAAAUAGCUAUU